rnacentral:rRNA from 1 species
UGUGCGCGAGUCACUGGGAUCUUGUCUAAACCCAGAGGCGCAGUGAAAGCGUGGGGCUCGCACGGCAUAAAGCCGCUGCGAGCCGCUAAGGGAGGACGGCCGGUCGUUCCCGAACGGUGCGGCCGGCCAGCACUCCCGGGGCGCCUCGGCUCCGGCCGCAGGCGCACCCGGAGCGCACACGUUGGGACCCGAAAGAUGGUGAACUAUGCCCGGCCAGGACGAAGUCAGGGGAAACCCUGAUGGAGGUCCGCAGCGAUUCUGACGUGCAAAUCGAUCGUCAGAGCUAGGUAUAGGGGCGAAAGACUAAUCGAACCAUCUAGUAGCU